rnacentral:tRNA from 1 species
GCAAGGCUAGCUCAGUCAAUAGAGCAUGAGACUGUUAACCUUGGGGUUGUGAGUUCAAGGCUCACAUUGUGCA